GCAGCCCUGCAAACAGCAUCGUCUCUGGAUGUGAGAGACAGUCGCCAGCUGGGGGGAAUCUCCUCUUUGCCCAAAGGAAAGGAGCGUAUAGAGAUGCAUGGUGCUCUGCCCCGCAGGACGUUGUUGCGGGACGGUUGGCUGCAUCCCCUUCUUACAGACCCUGACUGUUCGCCAUCAGAUGAUAACGCACGCUGGAUGUCUUAGGUGCAACCUGGAGUUUCUCCCCACAAGCAAUGACAAGGGUGAGAGCCCAGUUUUGUAUUCUUCAGCUCAUUAAUAAAUGAACGGACUGGAAUGUUUUUCUUUUG